rnacentral:rRNA from 1 species
AUUGAACGCUGGCGGCAUGCUUUACACAUGCAAGUCGAACGGCAGCACGGGUGCUUGCACCUGGUGGCGAGUGGCGGACGGGUGAGUAAUGCAUCGGAACGUGUCCUGAAGUGGGGGAUAACGCAUCGAAAGAUGUGCUAAUACCGCAUAUUCUCUGAGGAGGAAAGUAGGGGAUCGAAAGACCUUAUGCUUUUGGAGCGGCCGAUGUCUGAUUAGCUAGUUGGUAGGGUAAUGGCUUACCAAGGCGACGAUCAGUAGUUGGUCUGAGAGGACGACCAGCCACACUGGGACUGAGACACGGCCCAGACUCCUACGGGAGGCAGCAGUGGGGAAUUUUGGACAAUGGGCGCAAGCCUGAUCCAGCAAUGCCGCGUGAGUGAAGAAGGCCUCGGUUGUAAGCGUACUUUCACGUUGUAGAAGAAAAGUACGUAGACUAAUAAUACAU